rnacentral:rRNA from 1 species
AUUGAACGCUGGCGGCAUGCUUUACACAUGCAAGUCGAACGGUAACAGCACUUCGGUGGCUGACGAGUGGCGAACGGGUGAGUAAUACAUCGGAACGUGCCUAGUAGUGGGGGAUAACUACUCGAAAGAGUAGCUAAUACCGCAUGAGAUCUAAGGAUGAAAGCAGGGGACCUUCGGGCCUUGCGCUACUAGAGCGGCUGAUGGCAGAUUAGGUAGUUGGUGGGAUAAAAGCUUACCAAGCCGACGAUCUGUAGCUGGUCUGAGAGGACGACCAGCCACACUGGGACUGAGACACGGCCCAGAAUCCUACGGGAGGCAGCAGUGGGGAAUUUUGGACAAUGGGCGCAAGCCUGAUCCAGCAAUGCCGCGUGCAGGAUGAAGGCCUUCGGGUUGUAAACUGCUUUUGUACGGAACGAAAAGCCCUCUUCUAAUACAGGAGGGUCAUGACGGUACCGUAAGAAUAAGCACCGGCUAACUACGUG